UACGUAGGGUGCAAGCGUUAAUCGGAAUUACUGGGCGUAAGGCGUGCGCAGGCGGUGAUGUAAGACAGAUGUGAAAUCCCCGGGCUCAACCUGGGAACUGCAUUUGUGACUGCAUCGCUGGAGUGCGGCAGAGGGGGGUAGAAUUCCACGUGUAGCAGUGAAAUGCGUAGAGAUGUGGAGGAAUACCGAUGGCGAAGGCAGCCCCCUGGGAUAACACUGACGCUCAUGCACGAAAGCGUGGGGAGCAAACAGG
rnacentral:rRNA from 1 species